rnacentral:rRNA from 1 species
AACUAACGCUGGCGGCGUGCCUAACACAUGCAAGUCGUACGAGAAAGUUGGCUUCGGCUGAUGAGUAAAGUGGCGCACGGGUGAGUAACGCGUGGAUAAUCUGCCUUUUAGUUGGGAAUAACGUACCGAAAGGUGCGCUAAUACCGGAUAAUACUGAGUGACUACUGUUGCUUAGUCAAAGAAGGCCUCUGUUUACAAGCUUUUGCUGAAAGAUGAGUCCGCGUACCAUUAGCUAGUUGGUCGGGUAAUGGCCUACCAAGGCUACGAUGGUUAGCUGGUCUGAGAGGAUGAUCAGCCACACUGGAACUGAGACACGGUCCAGACUCCUACGGGAGGCAGCAGUGAGGAAUAUUGCGCAAUGGGGGCAACCCUGACGCAGCAACGCCGCGUGAGUGAGGAAGGUUUUCGGAUCGUAAAGCUCUGUCGAGUGGGAAGAAAUGUAUCAUGGCUAAUAUCCAUGAUACUUGACGGUACCGCUAAAGGAAGCACCGGCUAACUCCGUGCCAGCAGCCGCGGUAAUACGGGGGGUGCAAGCGUUGUUCGGAAUUAUUGGGCGUAAAGAGCGUGUAGGCGGCUGAAUAAGUCAGAUGUGAAAUCCCUGGGCUUAACUCAGGAAGUGCAUUUGAAACUAUUCAGCUCGAGUAGGGGAGAGGAAAGUGGAAUUCCUGGUGUAGAGGUGAAAUUCGUAGAUAUCAGGAGGAACACCGGUGGCGAAGGCGACUUUCUGGCCCUAUACUGACGCUGAGACGCGAGAGCGUGGGUAGCAAACA